GCCAACCCCCUGACCAGGACCGCUCCAGCCACGGUAGAGAUCAGUAACCGUACCAUCGUGUUUCCUGCCACGCCCUCAGGAGAAACCUCAGAGUCCUCUGUGGAGGUGGAGAACAGAGGAGAGCAGGUGAGGUGGUACCUGUCUUCCUUCGCCCCUCCCUAUGUAAAGGGGGUGGACAGCAGUGGGGAUGUGUACCGGCCACCUACACAGCCUUCAGAUGUCCCCUUUAGUCUCUGGAACCCUGGGAGCAUACCACAAGAUGCAGGUGCCCAUCACCUUCCUGCCCAGGGACCGAGGGGACUAU